CACAAGACAGUAGUUAUAUGAAGUAGACUGAUAAUUCAUGGAUACAGUCACAGAACAAGAUGUGGAAAGAUAACUUCAUUCUUUCCUGUUUCACCUCGAACAGUGAGAAAGCAGCUAUUUGCAGUCAGAAAAAGAUCCUUCAUUCAGGAAUUGAAAUGACCAGCAACUUGAUCUAAAACUUCCCAUCCUCAAGUACGGCACACUCCUGCCAUUGUGGUGCCAUCCGCUGUGACACUCUUACAGCAGGGUGACUGUGGGAGUGACUGGAUCUUCAACCUUCAGCCCCCAAAACUCGGCCUUCAGAGAAUUCUCAUGGAGGAGAGAAGGAAGUGGAUUGAAGAUGGGGUCGAGUUUCUAUCUGCUGUUUGACCCACGGAUUGCUGGAUAGACAUGACAUAUAGAAAACAGCUUGAUUCAUCCCACAGAAGUAGCAGAGAGUCCCAGGACCCAGCCUGCCCCACAGCAUCCCAGAGGGAUUUAUUCUCUUCUGAAGUUUGCAGAAGAAAUUGUUUUAUGAAUCAAUUUAAGACUAAUAAAUACAUAGAGUUCUAUUCCAAACAUAUUUUUUUUAAUUAUAAAAGAAGUACAUACCUCUUAAAAGGAUUAUGGGAGAAAGAGGAAUGUAGGAAAAAAAUAAGACAGAAAGUACAGGUAAGAGUGCUGAUUUUAGAAUCAGGGCCAUACGGACUAGAAUCAGCCUUACUUGCUGUAUACACUUGGGUGAGUUACUUCACAUUGCUGAGUGCAUUCUUCUCAUCUGCAAAAUGGGAACAACCUCUCUGUCUGUCAUGUGGUAAGGGUUUGCUAAAGUGUAUUUUGUAAAAGCACUUAGAAAAAUUCUUGGUAUAGAAUAGUGUUACCAUAAUACAGGUGAGGUAAGUGUUUUUACUGCUGGUAGGAUAGCUACUGACUACAUCCUUUCCAGGCAAAUGGGACUGACUUUGAACCCCUUUUGGUUUGGGGGAGAAUUACUGGUAUUGGUAUUCCUAGCAUUAAGGCCACAUAAUAUUUGAAGAACUGGUUGCAAUCUCUUAAAAGUGUUAUUACCAAGAAAUAGAUUUUGGUUAUGUCUGUUUUCAUGGUACAGUAACCGAAACCCCUUAGUUUUUGUCUUAAGCUUAUAAACAUAUUUUAGUUUGUAAAAAGUGAUAAAAAAAAUACCCUGAGAAACAAUUAAAGUUCAUAGGAAAAUAAGAAAUCUUCACAGUAAUGUUUCAUUGAAUCAUCACAUUUUUUUUUCCUGAAAUACCAAUGAAGAAUGGCAGUUUUGAUAUGUAAAACAGUAGUUAGUCUUUAUGUGGAUAACACUUUUAAAAGCCUAGAAAUAUUUCACAUUUGAAGAAAAACACUUGUUUCCCGUGUUGAAUCUGAUUAAAAUUCAAAUCUAUCUUAGCAUCUCAUUACUAUUUGAAAAAAGCAACCUUCACGCUUAAGGAGAACGGCUCGGAGUCCACAGGUCCGGUGGCUGCAGGCUCUGCCUCUGGCUGUCACUGUGCUGGGACCCCAGAGGACAGGGCCACAGCUACAUCCUUGUUAAAACAGUCAUGGCGGGAAGACUGGCCCCGAGUUUCCUGCCUUUCCCCUCUCCCAUCCCGACAUUGUUUCAGCUGCCAGAUCCUCAAUAUUUUCUCUCCAGCAAGGGAAAGGGAAGGGCAAAAAUGACUUUGAAAGAAUAACAUUUCUUUCUAUGGACUUAAAUAGAACACUCAACACAAAACAUCCUGUGCUUCCUUUUCAUGGAUAACGUGCUGCUUGUCGCCGUGAGUGAACUAAAAAGCAGGGCUGGGUGUUGAGAGAGUUGGUGUUGGAGCUGCCAGCUGGGCGGUGAAGAAAACGCCCCUUGGGUAUUUUAAGGUUCGCCCUGCCCUCUCCUGUACACUCCCAUCUCCUUAUCCCGUAGUGUCUUGUCUCUUCUCCAUCGGAGUUAACACCUUUGAACAUAGUUUAGUACUUUUUUUUUUGGUUUAUUCUCCAACUGCUUAGAUUGUAAUGGCCAUAACGGGAACUCCACGAGAGUUAAUAUCUUCCUGUUUGCUGUUGGAUUACUUGUUCUAAAAAGAGUGCCCGGCAUGAAGUGGACACUAAAUAUUUGCAGGAUAAGCGAAUGAAUUAGUUUCUCCCUCAACGUCUUUUCCGGUACGAGUGGUAUCUAUAGUUCCUCAGUAUCUUUCCCUACAGGACUCUUUGGGUAUGAUUGGUACCAUGGGACAUAAAAAUAUUCUAUAAAUGUAUUUUUAUCUAGUAGAUACAUUUGAGAGUAUAGAUUUUUUUCAAGGUUUACACAAUUUAAUUGGUAAGGAAGAAAUAAAAGAGUUGGAUUAAAAAAGAAGCAUUCCCUUGUUACUUUAGGUUAUCUUAUUAUUUUAUUUUUCUUCCAACAACUCCCACACCGAACGUAUUUUUUUUGUUUAUUAUCUAUCUUUCCAUACUACAAUAUAAAAUUUUUCCCUUUUUGAUUGUAAUUGACAAAAAAAUCAUAUAUACUUAAGAUGUACAUCAUGUUCUGAGAUACAUAUACGUUGUGAAAUGAUUACUAUAAUCAAGCUAAUGAAUAUAUUCACCACUUCACAUACUUAUAGCAUUUAAAUUCUUGUACUUAGAAAUGUUUUAUAGGAGCACAAAUCAAAAACACUCCUAAAUAAAAAAUAUGCUUAGUAUCUCACUGCCAGCAACAGAUUAAAAUAGUUAAGUAAACACCUUUCUAGACAAUUUCUUGAUUUCUCUAUACAUUAAUGCAUUUUUGAAAAUAAAAAAGUUGGCAAUACCAUAUAUACUAUUUUGUAACCUGCUGUUUUACUUAAUGGAAGACAGGAUUUUGUGUAUUUUGUUUACUACAGUAGUCCCAUUUAUUACCCCAGUGCCUGAUACACAGUAGACAACCAACACAUAUUUGCUGAACAUGCAAAUGUUCGGAUGAGUGUGUUUGGUAUAGACUGUAUCCAGGUCUGGCCUUGACUGUAUAUGGAGCCCAUGGCAUGAUUGGUCAGUAAGACUUUGGUACUUCUGAGGAGGAUGUUGGAUGGAGAGAUAGAAAGGGAAACAAGAUGACCUAUAAGGUAUUAAAUUGUAAGUUUUUCAUUCAUAGUUAAAAAGACAUCUCAUUCAUUUUAUAUAUAUAUAUAUAUAAUAUACAUAUAUUACAUAUAUAUUCCUCAUUUAAAGAGCUACCUGUUUAAUGACAGUUUGGAUUUACAACUCACUGCUUGGACUUAUGACCCAUCUUUUUUUGUACAGUUCUGUACAUCUUGUUUAGAGAACAUCAAUGUCUUUUUCAUAUAGUACUAUAAUUUUUGGUGAUUGUACUGUAUAGUACUGUGGUUUUGUGUUCUGUUAUAUACACUGUAGUGCAUAUAAGAGUUAUGGAAAUAAAAGCAAAGUGAUCACAUUGGAGUUUCCUUUGACCAUUACUUCAUUCUGAAUAUUGUAAUGU
rnacentral:lncRNA from 1 species